AUACGGAGGAUCCGAGCGUUAUCCGGAUUUAUUGGGUUUAAAGGGAGCGUAGGCGGACGCUUAAGUCAGUUGUGAAAGUUUGCGGCUCACCGUAAAAUUGCAGUUGAUACUGGGUGUCUUGAGUACAGUAGAGGCAGGCGGAAUUCGUGGUGUAGCGGUGAAAUGCUUAGAUAUCACGAAGAACUCCGAUUGCGAAGGCAGCCUGCUGGACUGUAACUGACGCUGAUGCUCGAAAGUGUGGGUAUC
rnacentral:rRNA from 1 species